UACAGAGGUCUCAAGCGUUGUUCGAGUUCAUUGGGCGUAAAGGGUGCGUAGGCGGCGCGGUAAGUCGGGUGUGAAAUCUCGGAGCUUAACUCCGAAACUGCAUUCGAUACUGCCGUGCUUGAGGACUGGAGAGGAGACUGGAAUUUACGGUGUAGCGGUGAAAUGCGUAGAUAUCGUAAGGAAGACCAGUGGCGAAGGCGGGUCUCUGGACAGUUCCUGACGCUGAGGCACGAAGGUCAGGGGAGCAAACGGG
rnacentral:rRNA from 1 species